CUGACUGAAGCUCAGUUUGUUAGAGCGCUGGUUUGUGGUACCGGAGGCUGGGGGUUCAAAUCCCCUCAGCCACCCCA
rnacentral:tRNA from 2 species